rnacentral:lncRNA from 1 species
CUGCCAGCCACAGCAACAGCAAUGAGGGAUCCAAGCUAGCUGUAGCCAUCGGCCUACACCAGAGCCACAGCAACGCGGGAUCCGAGCCACGUCUGCAACCUACACCACAGCUCACGGCAACGCCGGAUCGUUAACCCACUGAGCAAGGGCAAGGACCGAACCCGCAACCUCAUGGUUCCUAGUCGGAUUCGUUAACCACUGCGCCACGACGGGAACUCCCACAUAAGAUUUUCUUAAUGUCUCCAGGCAGUUAGCUUCCCCAUUCAACUUUCACAACAGAAAAAAAAAAAAAAAAUUUCUUUAAAACUACCAAAAAAAAAAAAAAAAACCAAACUUUUUAACAGUUAUUUUAAAUGUUCAAUGUAAUUCAAGGUAAUACAAUGAAGAUACUGACCUAGUUGUGGAUUGUGUCCUUUAUAAAUUCAAUAUCUAACACUAAAAGACACAUUUUGACACAGCAUAUCAACCAUGACACAAACUCUGAAUAAUAAGGUAUCAUUUCAGGAUAAAGGUUAAGUAUACAUCAAUACUGAAGACAAAUGUGAAUACUCAUUUAGGUGUAUUCUUAGAUGUGUCACUUAUCAGGAAUGCAUUAUGAAAUGUUUGAGUCUUUUUGUUUCUUUUUAUUUAUUCUGAAUGGUUAAGGGCUUACACUCUGGAGUCACAUAGACUUGGAGGAAACUGUACUUAUAAUCUGUGAGUCCUUGGGCAAGGGAUUAAACCCAGUCUCAGCUUCCUCAUGAAGAUAUAGGUAAACAGUAAUUGAUGGUGACAGUAAAUGAUAAUAUUGCUAUUACUUGAAUAAUUAAAAAUAAUGUUAUUAUGUAGACCUCUCUUUCUUUCCACAUAUAACAGUGGAAAAAAAUAUUUUCUAUCAUGAAUCCUUAGUGCUGAGGAAAUAAUAACACGUUGAAAAGAGAACCCCUUUCCAACACAGUUCCCUUUAUUCAUUUUUAUAACUUUGACCAAAGUAGUUGAAUAUGGUGGUCACUAGAUGGAGCAACAUUCCUAGCAGAGUAUUCCUAACCAAGUACUUACCUUUUAUUAUUUAAGAAAAAUAAAUCACGUUUAGAAAAAUAAUCACUUGUAAUAACAGAUUACCUGGAUACCAUUUGCAGGGAAACAUAAAUGACUGUGAACACCUCAGAGAUAUCGAUAUGAGAAAACAGGCAAGACGAAGAUUUGGACACACCACUGUCAUAUGUGGUUUUAUGGGCUGAAUUCUGUUCCCUCAAAAUUCAUAUGUUGAAAUCCUAACCCUCAGUACCAUGUGACUGUUUUUAGAGGUAGGGUCUUUAAGAGGUAAUUAAGUUAAAAUGCAGUCAUUAAGGUGGGCUCUAAUCCAACAUGACUGGGGUCCUUAAAAGAAAAGAAAAUUUGGACGUAGACACGUACAGAGAGUUGACACUGUAAAGACAAGAAGACAUAUAAGUCUCAUAAAACUCAAAGAGAGAGACCUGAAACAGAUGUUUCCCUCUGACCCCUUAGAAGAAACCAACUCUGUUGAACCUUGAUCUUGGACUUCCCAUAGCCAAAACUGUAAGAAAAAUAAAGUUCUGUUGUUUUUAGCCAUCAAGUCUGUGGUACUUUGUAAUAUAAGCUCUAGCAAAUAUCACACAUGUGAAAUGGAACACCAGAAUGUAAACUCCAUGAAGACAGACAUUUUUGUCUUUUUUGUUGACUGAUAUAUCCCAAGCACCUGGAACAAUGCAUGGCACAUAAGAGGUGUUCAAUAAAUAUCUUCUUCGUGAACUAAUAAAGCAGUUUAAUAAAAUUCUUUCCAUAGAUGACUCUAUAAGAUAUUAAUAUUUCAGUAAUGUUUUUUAUUUUCAUAAGACCUGAGAACAUGAACACCCAGUGCUCUUACCACAUGCUGCCACAGCCCAAAGGUAUAAAAUCCUCUGUGAAACUCCUGUUAUGACUCAGUUCCUGGAGUACUUUCCUGAAGAGCUAAGAAGACAAAAAUGCUGCUGUAACACAAUAAAUGUGAAUGAGUCUACACAGAAACAGAUCAACCUUGUUAGAUGCAUCCUGGGGAAAAUGCCACAAACACAUGUAGCUUACUGGUACUGCUGUUCAUUCAAAAGCAUCUGGUUGGCUAACUUCACUAUAGGCAUUGAGAACAGCCAGGAAUCACAAUCUAAAGGGGAAAAAAUGACUUUACUGUUCUCAAAGCAUUUCUUAUGUGGACACAGGGAAAAGACUAAUUAAAUUUCCUUUGGACUUAUUCAAUUAUGAAUUCAUGGUACAUGUCUGUCUUCAAACCCAUCUCCAUGUCUUAAUGUCAUCACUAUCACCAUCAAUCAGUACUGAAUAUGCUAGGUAAAUAACAGCAAAAUAAAGCAAGAAGGAAAAUAUGAAAUACAUACUUGGAUUUUUACUUAUAUGCAAAUAUCCUGUAACUAAUAGCUAGAGGAGAAAUUCACCAAAAUGAUAACAAUUCUGUUAGAGGCAAUAAUACUGUAAGUGAUUCUUUCUCUCUUCAAAUUAUUUGUAAUUUUAUACAAGUCUCAAUUUUAAGUCCUCAAAAAUUAUUCUUUUUUUUUUAGGGCUGCACCUGUAGCAUAUGGAAGUCCCAGGCCAGGGGCCAAAUCAGAGCUACACCACAGCUACAGCCACAGACAGCAACGCAGGAUCCAUGCUGCAUCUGUGACCUAUGCCACAGCUCACGGCAAUGCCAGAUCCUUAACUCACUUAGUUAGGCCAGGAAAUUAAACCCACAUCCUCACGGAUACUAGUCAGAUUCGUUUCCACUGCGCCACAUUGGUAACUCCCUCAAAAAACAUUCUAACUUCUAACCAUUACUGGAAGAAAAUUUAGGACUAAAAAUCCUCCACAAAGGGAGAGGAUGAUACACUAAUACUUAUGUUUAAAGUAUGUUUAAUCAAUACACUUAUAAAGAAUAUGCAUGAGAGGCAGAAUACACCAGUGCAUGGUAAGUGAAAUUCAGCAUUAUAAAAUCAAAAUCUGUAAACUCCCAUCUAUCCUGAAAGUCAUUUAAAAAUCGAGUCAAAACUUGUUCUUAGUUUGGGGCCUGAAAUUAGCUCCUGAACUGAUGCAAUCUGAAACCAGAGCCAGCAAGUGUUUACCAAAGUCUUUUUCCCAAAGGGAAAAGUCUCUUUUCUAAUUCUCUAGAAGUGAUGCUGUUGGGAUUGCCUUGAGAAUUGAACAAAGGUAGCAGGUAGGAGUACAAAAAAUAAAUUCAUUCUGAAAUAUUUUCCUUUCCAGCAAAAUCGAAAGCUAAAUACUUUUCCACAAUAUGCAAUUUUUAAUCAAGCCCUUUUUUUUUCUGGACCCGUGGCUUAUGGAAGUUCUUAGGCCAGGGAUCAACCUGGAACCCAUGCCGCCACAGCCACCCAAGCCGCUUCAGUGACACCAGAUCCAUAAACCACUGCACCACAAUGGGAACUCCAAGCCCUCCUUUACUAGAGGUUUUAAUUAGCUGCUUGUGCAUUUGCUCCUCUUUCCUGGAAACCGCAGCAUAAACAGGAAAUCCAGGCCUCUGGGGCUUAUUCACUGCAGAAUGGAAAAAAUGAAGCCAUGGACUUUCUCAAGGAUGAUUUAGAAAGGAUCAUUAAAUUACUGUACUCCCCUCCUUAUCUUCUCCAGAAGGCUUAUAAACCAAGUGACUGCACAAGCUGUAUUCCACCUCCAGGAAUAUAAACAGCUCUUUUCCCACAUGUGGCUGGAAAUAAACUUGAGAGCUCUGCACCAGGCUAGUAUCACAUGCUAGAGUCUACACCCCAAAGCAAAGGCGAUCAGCCACUCUCCUAACACCUGUUACAAUUGUGGGUGCUCCACUUUCUACCCUGACAACCACAAGGCAGAGCUACAACUAGAGAGAAACCCUACCAUUUCAAUUAUGCAAACACCACAGGGUUGGGUAUUACACAGCCAAAGGGAGAUCUUGGUGGUGAUGGAACAGUGCUGUUAUCUUGACUGCAGUGGUGGUUACACGAAUCUAUGCAUGAGACAAUAUGGCAUAGAACUAUGUGUACACUUGUGCCACUCUCAACUUCCUGGCUUUGAUAUUACAGUUAAGUAAGACAUAACCAUUGGGGGAAACUGGGUAGCGGGUACACAUAACCUCUCCGUACUGUCUUUGCAACUUCCUGUGAAUCUGUAUUUAUUUCAAAAUAAAAUGUUUUUACAAGUGCACCUGCUGGUGCACAUCACCCUGCUUUGGACGGUUUGCAUUAGGACAAGUCAUGGAGAAUACAACAGAGCCUGGUUUUCAAAUGUGAAGUUUCAGUCACCACCUAACGCAAAGCUUGAGGUCGGGGAUACCCUUGCCUGUGCUUUUCCCUCCUCCUGGAAUUCCCUUUCUGACCUCCCGUGUCCCGCCUGUCCCCCUUCCCAAGGCCGGCUCCUUUUCAUCGUUGAGGUCACAGGUCAAUGCCACCGCCUUACAGAGGUCUUUCCUUGUCCCCGUAACUAAUGUAGCUGCCUUCGGCUAUCCUGAGUCCCCUGCGCCCUUCCUCGAGAUCUUCCCCACGUGACGAUUUGGCUUGUUUGCUUGCUGGUUACCUGUGUCAAUGCCACGGGGGCGGGCCCGCUCUACACCCAGCAAUGAGCACGCUGCUCGGCGACGGCAGGAGCUCAGAAAGGAUUGUAUUUGAAUAAACGCACCUCACUCGAAUUCAUUCCCUUAGGCUCGAGGGUGGUGGCACGGUUUCUUCCCCUCACACCAUCAGUCCUCUCAGGUCAGGGCGGGCCUCGUCCCCCUCACUUUGGCACACAGGUGCCCCUCCGCCUCCUCCCCUCAUUCGGACCCCACCUCGCCCAAUGAGGGCACCAUUUUCCUCUAAGUCUUCUGCCCAGAAGGGCGCCUUUUUCUUUUUCGUAGCCUUUUCUCAGGCCAUCACUCAACUUCCCCUCCCCUCUCUCUUCAGCAGCCGCCCCCCC